rnacentral:rRNA from 1 species
CCUACGGGGGGCUGCAGUGAGGAAUAUUGGUCAAUGGGCGCGAGCCUGAACCAGCCAAGUAGCGUGAAGGAUGACUGCCCUACGGGUUGUAAACUUCUGUUAUAAAGGAAUAAAGUGAGGCACGUGUGCCUUUUUGGAUGUACUUUAUGAAUAAGGAUCGGCUAACUCCGUGCCAGCAGCCGCGGUAAUACGGAGGAUCCGAGCGUUAUCCGGAUUGAUUGGGUUUAAAGGGAGCGUAGAUGGGUUGUUAAGUCAGUUGUGAAAGUUUGCGGCUCAACCGUAAAAUUGCAAUUGAUACGGGCAGCCUUGAGUACAGUUGAGCUAGGCGGAAUUCGUGGUGUAGCGG